rnacentral:rRNA from 1 species
UACGUAGGGGGCAAGCGUUGUCCGGAUUUACUGGGCGUAAAGAGCGUGUAGGCGGCCAAACAGGUCCGUUGUGAAAACUGGAGGCUCAACCUCCAGACGUCGACGGAAACCGUGUGGCUAGAGUCCGGAAGAGGAGAGUGGAAUUCCGUGGAUGUAGCGGUGAAAUGCGCAGAUAUCAGGAAGAACACCAAUGGCGAAGGCAGCUCUCUGGGACGGUACUGACGCUGAGACGCGAAAGCGUGGGGAGCGAACAGG